UACGGAGGGGGCUAGCGUUGUUCGGAAUUACUGGGCGUAAAGCGCGCGUAGGCGGCUUUGUAAGUCAGGGGUGAAAUCCCGGGGCUCAACCCCGGAACCGCCUUUGAUACUGGGCGUCUGGAGUCCGGAAGAGGUUGGUGGAAUUCCGAGUGUAGAGGUGAAAUUCGUAGAUAUUCGGAGGAACACCAGAGGCGAAGGCGGCCAACUGGUCCGGUACUGACGCUGAGGCGCGAAAGCGUGGGGAGCAAACAGG
rnacentral:rRNA from 1 species